rnacentral:ncRNA from 1 species
UCGCGAAAGGGGCAGUAUUACCCCUUUCGCGUAUCAUGUAGCAUGUAGCA